rnacentral:rRNA from 1 species
UUGAACGCUGGCGGCAUGCUUUACACAUGCCAGUCGAGCGGCAGCGCGGGCUUCGGCCUGGCGGCGAGUGGCGAACGGGUGAGUAAUGCAUCGGAACGUGCCCAGUAGUGGGGGAUAGCCCGGCGAAAGCCGGAUUAAUACCGCAUACGACCUGAGGGUGAAAGCGGGGGACCGAAAGGCCUCGCGCUAUUGGAGCGGCCGAUGUCGGAUUAGCUAGUUGGUGGGGUAAAGGCUUACCAAGGCGACGAUCCGUAGCUGGUCUGAGAGGACGACCAGCCACACUGGGACUGAGACACGGCCCAGACUCCUACGGGAGGCAGCAGUGGGGAAUUUUGGACAAUGGGGGCAACCCUGAUCCAGCCAUGCCGCGUGCGGGAAGAAGGCCUUCGGGUUGUAAACCGCUUUUGUUCGGGAAGAAAUCCUCUGGGCUAAUACCCCGGGGGGAUGACGGUACCGGAAGAAUAAGCACCGGCUAACUACGUG